rnacentral:rRNA from 1 species
CAGUAGCGUAUAUUAAAGUUGUUGCAGUUAAAAUGCUCGUAGUUGAAGUUCGGAUGCAGCAGAGCUUGGAAACGCUGUUAUGGUGCUUCCGUUGCUUUUGCUUGUCCACAGUGCGUUGCAAGUACGUAUGUGCUUGUGCGUGCAUUUUACUUUGAGAAACAUAGGGUGUUCCACGCAUGUUACGGCAUGAAUAUUCCAGCAUGGGAUAAUCUGGUACGACUUCCAAUCUGCCAUUUUGGUUCGUAGGUUGGAAGUAAUGAUUAAUAGGGACUGUCGGGGGCAUUGGUAUUUGACUGUCAGAGGUGAAGUUCUUAGAUUCGUUGAGGACCAACCACUGCGAAAGCAUUUGUCAAGGAUGUCUCCAUUA